UACGUAGGGCGCAAGCGUUGUCCGGAAUUAUUGGGCGUAAAGAGCUCGUAGGCGGCUUGUCACGUCGGGUGUGAAAGCCCUCGGCUCAACCGAGGAAGUGCGCCCGAAACUGCAGAGCUUGAGUACCGGAGAGGAUGGCGGAAUUCCCCAAGUAGAGGUGAAAUUCGUAGAUAUGGGGAGGAACACCGGUGGCGAAGGCGGCCAUCUGGACGGAUACUGACGCUGAGACGCGAAAGCGUGGGUAGCAAACAGG
rnacentral:rRNA from 1 species